GAAACCGUUCAGGGGUAAACCUGAGAAACCCAAAAGAUCGAAUGGGGAGAUUCAUCGUCGACGAGGCUGGCUUCCGUAGGCGCGCAGAUACCCCGCAUGGGCCUUCGCGGUUCCAAUGCGAGGGUACACCGCCUUCGGCCUAAAUGUUCCGGCAACGUAGUCGUGCACUUCUCCCUUAGUAGAACGUCGCGACCCGUUGCGUGUCGGUCUACGGCCCGAGUGGUUGCCUGCCGCGUCGCCUUUGCGCGCACGCGACAGACCCUCGGUCGCCCGGCCGGCUGCGCGACGGUACUCUGACGGUAUCGGGCCGCAACCAAUCCAUUUUCGAAUGUGUGUGCGUCAGGCCCGCCGCAAGCUCGAUCAGUAUACCCUCGGAGGUACGGACCUGGUGCCGGCUCCGAGCCUGGUCAGCUGUUGGCAGGCGGUGUCCUCGGACUGGCCAAGCUUCGAAUUACCGGUCGGCGACGCUACUGCUUUGGGUACUCUCAGGACCCGUCUUGAAACACGGACCAAGGAGUCUAACAUGUGCGCGAGUCAUUGGGAUAUAUAAACCUAAAGGCGCAAUGAAAGUGAAGGUCAGGCCUUAGCGUCGGCCGAGGGAGGAUGGGCCGCGUUGCGAUGCGGCCUCGCACUCCCGGGGCGUCUCGUUCUCAUCGCGAGGAGAGGCGCACCCAGAGCGUACACGUUGGGACCCGAAAGAUGGUGAACUAUGCCUGGUCAGGACGAAGUCAGGGGAAACCCUGAUGGAGGUCCGUAGCGAUUCUGACGUGCAAAUCGAUCGUCGGAACUGGGUAUAGGGGCGAAAGACUAAUCGAACCAUCUAGUAGCUGGUUCCCUCCGAAGUUUCCCUCAGGAUAGCUGGCACUCGCUCGUUCCUCCGUGAACUUGCGCGAGUUUCAUCUGGUAAAGCGAAUGAUUAGAGGCCUUGGGGCCGAAACGACCUCAACCUAUUCUCAAACUUUAAAUGGGUGAGAUCUCUGGCUUGCUUGGAUCAAAUGAAGCCACGAGAUAUUAUAUAUUCGAAUCAGAGUGCCAAGUGGGCCAAUUUUGGUAAGCAGAACUGGCGCUGUGGGAUGAACCAAACGCAGAGUUAAGGCGCCUAAGUCGACGCUUAUGGGAUACCAUGAAAGGCGUUGGUUGCUUAAGACAGCAGGACGGUGGCCAUGGAAGUCGGAA
rnacentral:rRNA from 1 species